CUCCCUCCCUCUCUCUCCCUUUCUCUCCUUGUCCCUCUCUGUCCCUCUCUCACGCUGUCCCUCUCUCUCACGCUGUCCCUCUCUCUCCCUCUCUCACGCUGUCCCUCUCUCUCACACGGUCUCUCCCUCCCUCUCUCUCCCUUUCUCACACUGUCCCUCUCUCUCACGCUGUCCCGCUCUCUCCCUCUCACGCUGUCCCUCUCUCUCACGCUGUCUCUCUCCAUUUCUCACGCUGUCCCUCUCUCUCACGCUUUCCUUCUCUCCCUCCCUCUCUCACGCUGUCCCUCUCUCUCCCUCGCUCACGCUGUCCCUCUCUCACGCUGUCCCUCGCUCUCACGCUGUCCCUCUCUCACGCUGUCCCUCGCUCUCACGCUGUCCCUCUCUCACGCUGUCCCUCGCUCUCACGCUGUCCCUCUCUCACGCUGUCCCUCGCUCUCACGCUGUCCCACGCUGUCUCACACGGUCUCUCCCUCCCUCUCUCUCCCUUUCUCACACUGUCCCUCUCUCUCACGCUGUCCCGCUCUCUCCCUCUCACGCUGUCCCUCUCUCUCACGCUGUCUCUCUCCAUUUCUCACGCUGUCCCUCUCUCUCACGCUGUCCUUCUCUCCCUCCCUCUCUCACGCUGUCCCUCUCUCUCCCUCGCUCACGCUGUCCCUCUCUCACGCUGUCCCUCGCUCUCACGCUGUCCCUCUCUCACGCUGUCCCUCGCUCUCACGCUGUCCCUCUCUCACGCUGUCCCUCGCUCUCACGCUGUCCCUCUCUCACGCUGUCCCUCGCUCUCACGCUGUCCCUCUCUCUCACGUUGUCCCUCUCUCUCACGUUGUCCCUCUCUCUCACUUUGUCCCUCUCUCUCACGCUGUCUCUCUUUCCCUCCCUCUCUCACGCUGUCUCUCUCUCUCACGCGUUCUCUCUCUCACGCUGUCUCUCCCUCCCUCCCUCUCUCUCCCUCUCUCACGCUGUCCCUCUCUCUCACGCUGUCUCUUUCUCCCUCCCUCUCUCUCCCUCUCUCUCACGCUGUCUCUCCCUCCCUCCCUCUCUCUCCCUCUCUCACGCUGUCCCUCUCUCUCACGCGUUCUCUCUCUCACGCUGUCUCUCCCUCCCUCCCUCUCUCUCCCUCUCUCACGCUGUCCCUCUCUCUCACGCUGUCUCUUUCUCCCUCCCUCUCUCUCCCUCUCUCUCACGCUGUCUCUCCCUCCCUCCCUCUCUCUCCCUCUCUCACGCUGUCCCUCUCUCUCACGCUGUCUCUCUCUCCCUCCCUCUCUCUCCCUUUCUCACGCUGUCCCUCUCUCACGCUGUCUCUCUCUCCCUCCCUCUCUCUCCCUUUCUCACGCUGUCUCUCUCUCCCUCUCUCACGCUGUCCCUCGCUCUCACGCUGUCCCUCUCUCUCCCUCUCUCACGCUGUCCCUCUCUCUCACGCGGUCUCUCCCUCUCUCUCACGCUGUCUCUCUCCCUCUCUCUCACGCUGUCCCUCCGUCCUUCACACUCUCUGGUUUGUCUUUCCUUCUCCAUGGUGAAUUUUAGUAAAUGUUAUUUAAUAAGUUACUUGUAAAUCCAGUUGUUGGUCUUUGUCGAAUCCCAAACAUAAUCUGUCUGAAAAUCUGUUCAAGUCAGUUCUAAUGUAAUAAUUGGUUAUUAAUGACCUCCAUAUCUGGGCGUAGCCUAGUGGUUAGAGCUUUGGACUAGUAACCGAAAGGUUGCAAGAUCGAAUCUCCGAGCUGACACAGUAUAAAUCUGUUGUUCUGCCCCUGAACAAGGCAGUUAUCCCACUGUUCCUAGGCCCUCAUUGAAAAUUAGUUUUUUUCUUAACUGACUUGCCUAGUUAAAUAAAGGUAAAAUAAAAUAUCCUGCCAUUGGGGUUGGAACUGGUCUGUGUUUCUCUCUUCCUGAAUUUUACUUCCCCCUCUCUGUCUGUGGCUCUGUCCUCCAACUCUCGCUCUCUCUGUCUCUCUCCCUCUCUGUCUCUCCCCCCCUUUAAGUCUUGGUAAAGAGCAGCCCUCUGCAUCUCUUCAUAACAGAGAUGAAUGAGAUGAUGAAUGAGAAGUGAGGUGUAAUGGCAGACUGGAACCAUGUAGAUAACCAAGACUGUAGAUGUCUCAUGUAAUCCAAUCUGUUAAAGCUAUGGAUGUUGUGUCACUAAACCACCACAGUCUGGUGCCCAGUCUAACAUCUCUACCUCAUGUAGAUCUGAGAGGAUUGGAUGGUUGUUCAACUCUACUGAAUCAUCCAUAAGGCGACUGUAGGUGGCGCUAUUCCCAUGUUUCUUAAACCCAUCAUGUCCUUUAACAGCAACACAAAAAGGGGGGUGAUUUUGGAACGGCCAACAUUCUACACCUUGGCCUAAAACAGGAAGCAGAAUGUUGGAUUUCCUGAGCCGUGUAAAAUGGAGCACUUGUUACCAUGAGUGUUAUUUAAGGUUGCAACUGCGAUUUGGUAUUUUAUUAUUCUAUGGUACAAGUUUCAGCGGUUCUGCUAAGACACUCGCUCCGAGGGGACUCGUUUCAGACUUUCUCUCACACACACACACACACACACACACACACACACACACACACACACACACACACACACAACACACACACAAAUGUCACCUGUUCGCAUGACUGUGUUUUUGAUUUCAGGAGGUUUGGGGUCAAUUCCACCUCUACUCCGUCAUUUCAGGAAGGUAACUAAAUUUCAACUUGUUCUCUGAAUUGAAAUGGACUUGACCCCAACCCUGAUUAACUUACCUGCAGAGCUCAAAGGGGGAUAUAUUUUAAGGUCUUUUUAUUUGUUCACUAUCAACUUAUGAUUCCUUCACCUUUUUGUAUCAUUCCAUCUCUAAAUACGUGUAAAAGAAGUUAAAGAUCCUUUUAAAGAUGUUAAAUGAUUUAUUUGUUGUUGAUGUUUGUGUACUAUUCAUUUCUUCACAACUAUGGGAAGUCAAAAUGGUGUUUAUGUUGAAAUAUAUCCUCAAACACCGACCCCCACUUCUCUUUUUCUGACUCUUCUCUGCAUCAGUGGUCAUGUCUUAGCAGUUUCCUCAAAUUAAAACCAAACUGUUGGAGGUAUCGUGGACGUGGGGUGUCCUCAAUGUUCUGCAGCUUAUUAUUUCUAAAAUAAUAAUUUGAAAAUUAUAAUUAUGCAAAAAAGUGUAAAUUCCUCGUCUUCCAAAAGACUUGGAUCCCUGGAGCGAGUUUAGGAACAACCCCCCUUGAAGUUUGGGAUCCAGUUUGCACAAACAAUGGUAACAUUACCCUACAGUUGUGGCAAACCAUGGCACAACGUUUUCUCAACGUUGCGUGAACUGAAUUGUUUGUUAGCUAUUGGUUCAGCGUUGCAGACCCAUGUCAGGCUUGUGAUAUGAAGUGUAAAUCUGUUUUUUAUUUUUUUAAGUUUAUUUUUUAUUUUUUUUGAAGAUCAGAUAGUGAUCUUUGUACCAUAACUAAGUCACGUUUGUAAUUGUAUAAUAUUUACUGUGAGAUGUAGGCCAUUGAAUAAUUAUUAAACAUUUCCUAUAAAAGGAAUUCUGUCUUAGUCUCUCCUUUCUGAGUGGAAGUUUUUCUGUUCUGUUGAAUAUAGGUGUGUAUUACGAGCAAACGUAUGACUAACGAUAGUGAUGGAUGAAUGGAGAUGUGGGUGGGUACUAUAAGGAGUGGUUACUUUAGAAUAGCUUUAAGUCAUAGUAGUGGUAGUGAGCUGGGUGCCAUCCGUAGCCUCUGACUAGUGAUGGUUUAAGCCUAUAGAUUUCAGUUAGGUCCCAUUGCCUUGAGCACAUAUUGUAGAGCUCAUGCUGCUGAUACUACAGACAGUGAAAGUGUGUUUGUGUAGAAGUAACUGAUUGAGAAAGAGACGCCUUGUCUGUCUUUCACUUCUCCCUCCAAGCCCCCUGGCAGGCUUUAUAGGUAGUUGAGCAAUACACACCACUCCCUAUACAUACACAUACACACACACACUGAUGACACAAGUGGGGAGUCCAGCCAACAGAGUUGCAGAAAUCCAAACAGGAUAUGACAAGUGCCUGGAUUAGGACCUGAUGAACCCCAAGGGUCUCUGUCAGCGCUGUCAUCAACCCCAGACUAAUGGAGGAGUGAAGCUGAGAGCCCAGACCGCUGGAGGAGUGAAGCUGAGAGCCCAGACCGCUGGAGGAGUGAAGCUGAGAGCCCAGACUAAUGGAGGAGUGAAGCUGAGAGCCCAGACCGCUGGAGGAGUGAAGCUGAGAGCCCAGACCGCUGGAGGAGUGAAGCUGAGAGCCCAGACUGCUGGAGGAGUGAAGCUGAGAGCCCAGACCGCUGGAGGAGUGAAGCUGAGAGCCCAGACCGCUGGAGGAGUUAAGCUGAGAGCCCAGACCGCUGGAGGAGUGAAGCUGAGACACCGAUCCAGAGAGGCGUCAGACAUCUGAUCUAGGCCUGUCUCAAAACGUUUUCAGUGUCAGUACAUCUACGACCAAUGUCCAGAAAUGGAAUGAAUGUCCGUGAAUGAAAGGUUUCAUUUCCAAUCAGAAGAGUAGAUGAUCAGUGUAGACAUUUCCGCUGCAG
ensembl:lncRNA